GUCACAGGCAACUCUAUGGACUGGCCCAGGUGACAAAGAAUGGAGGCCACCUCCUGCCCAUGGCCGCAUAGAUGAGUCCCCGUAGAAGCACAGCCUCUAGCCCCAGUCAAAGCUUCAGAUGACAGAGCCUGGCUUGACUAGAGCCUCAAGAAAAGCCCUGAGCAAGAAUCACCCUUCUGUCAUCAGCAAACGUUGCCCAAGCUCCAGUCAUACAUUAAGCAGACUUCUAGGUUCUAGGAACAAAGCAGUGACAAUGCCAAGAAAGCACCUGUUUUCACAGCAGUAACAUUCUCAAAAAGGAAACUAAUAGACACAUCAAAACAAAUUGGAUCAUUUCAAAGAGUGCUAGCUCUGGAAAAGAAAUUAAGAUUAUAGGACAGAAAAUGCCUAGUAAGCAUAGUCUAUACCAGGAGGGGCACCUGAACUAGGAUUUGAAGACUUAGAAGACCUGAACAGGAGCAUUGAAGAUAGAAGAAAUAGCAGGGGGAAAUGCCUGGGGCAGAAAAGGCUUGGUAGUUUCACUGUGCUGAGCAAGGAGACAGUGCUACGUGAUAAAGUCCAAGAAGGUGUUAGAAGCCAGCACAUGCGAGGCCUCGUGGCCAAUGACUCUAACUCCAAAGGAAAUGGGAAGUCAAUGGAAGGUUCUAAGAAGAGAAGUGAUGCAAUCCCAUGUGCAUUCCUAAAAUGUCACUCUAGCUGCUUCAUAGACUAACACCAUAUAGAGGGCAGAAACAGAAGCCUGGAAGUUAGUUGGCCUCAGUCGCUCACUCAGGUCAAUGGCCACAGCUGGCUGAAGAUGGGGAAAUACUGAAGUUUGGAAGAGUUAUGUGGAUUGUAUAACAUCACCAGCCACACAGGGCUUCCUAGAGGAGUAGCAAAAGGGAUUUUGGACAGAGCAGUUAUUUGUGCUGAACUGUUUCCUAUGUGUUCAGCAUCCUUCCAUCCUGCCCACUAAAGCCCAACAGAGACCCCACCCACCCCCAUCUACUGGCUCAACUACUGUGAUACUAGAUGCUUUUCCAGACUUCUAUUAGUCAGCUUAACAUUGCUAUAAUGAGUGUAUGUACUACUUUUUCCGAGAAGAAAAAGAAAUCCUAGGAAAAAAAUACUAUCCCAAAAAUGAAUACUUUCUUCUCUUCAGCUGUACUGCAAGCUCAUUUCCUUUGGCUAUAUAGUCAGGGAAGAAGAGCUACAACUAACUAAUCCAACUCAAUCAAGGAACGUCAUCAAGACAUCUCAGGGAACCCAAAAGGAAAACACAAAGCAAAGGCAGGCCCCACAGGAAUCAGAACUGGAAAGCCAAGCAGAAUCAAGCCCAGCAUGUUAUCAUCUCCAUUGCUGCCAGUAAGUCCCAUUCUGCUCUGGUGUUUCUUACACUUAG
rnacentral:lncRNA from 1 species